rnacentral:rRNA from 1 species
AGCAGCCGCGGUAAUUCCAGCUCCAAUAGCGUAUAUUAAAGUUGUUGCAGUUAAAAAGCUCGUAGUUGAAUUUCGAGACCGGUUUACUGGUCGUGCUUUUGUACGUACUGGUAUUAUUGGUUUCUCCUUUCUGACGAAUCAUAAUGCCAUUAAUUUGGUGUUUUGGGGAAUCAGGACUGUUACUUUGAAAAAUUAGAGUGUUUAAAGCAGGCUCACGCUUGAAUACAUUAGCAUGGAAUAACGAAAUAGGACGUUUGAUUUUAUUUUGUUGGUUUCUAGGAUCGACGUAAUGAUUAAUAGGGAUAGUUGGGGGCAUUAGUAUUCAAUUGUCAGAGGUGAAAUUCUUGGAUUUAUUGAAGACUAACUACUGCGAAAGCAUUUGCCAAGGAUGUUUUCAUUAAUCAAGAACGAAAGUUAGGGGAUCGAAGACGAGUCAGAUACCGUCGUAGUCUUAACCAUAAACUAUGCCGACUAGGGAUCGGAUGAUGUUAAUUUUUAAUGUACUCAUUCGGCGCCUUAC